CGCAGGGGAACUUCCCCUUUCUCUUCUUCUUUCCAGCAGACUGUGCACUAUUUAGUGCUGUACUGCCACCAAACGGUAGGGAAUCCUCACGGCAGUUCAUGCGAUAUAAACUUGUAAUUUUAAGGAAGUGCAAGACUUCCCCAGCUCUCUGCUUCUUGUACAUCCCAUCACCAAACAGUUUUUUUUUUACAGAUAAGUGCCUUAUCCUAUCAAAAGCUCCCUCCUUUCUUUGGCAUAGAGUGGAAAAUACAUCAGAAUAUGUUGGACAGACUCCAGGACUCCACAGUUGUCACAGUUUCCAUCUCUGUGUUUUCCCACAAGCACCAACCCACUUGCUAGUCCACAAUGCCUGAGUCUUAACCUCAUCAGAUUGAUUUUAUCUAUUUGAGGCAUGGAUAUGCUAUUGACAGGCUUAACUGAUGCUUGGAUGUUGUAUAGCUUUCUUCCUCUGAUGUCUCCAUCCCACCCUUGCUGCCAUAUCUGAUUCGCCCUCUCACUGAUGAUGCUACGAAACUCCAUCCUUCAAGUGGCACUUGCACAUCCACUGUAUUUCUGCUAAACUUGCCUUUGCUGCCCUUUUCUGUCUGUCUCUCCAAUUCAGAGACCAUCAAUAACAUCUCCCUAAUUAUAUCUGGACUAGCUCCGUUUCCCUCUCCCCCCACCAAUGCCACUAGGGCAGAUAAGGAACCUGUGCACAGUACAACGUCAUCCCAGCCUCCAUCUCCCACCCACCACAGACCCUACAAUAAAGCAUUUAACUCUGCAGUGAAUAUUGAAAUCCCAUCUGGUAGUCUACUUUGACAGAUUUGAAUAUGGGGGAUGUAUGAAUCAAAUCCCACUCUAUUGCUUUCUGGAUCCCUUGAACCAUCAGUAUCCACAUCAGCUUCUGCCCAGAGCCACAGUUAAAAGCUGUAACUCGCCUGUGGAGGCAAACAGCUGCAGUGAUACCAAAGAGGAGCAACACAACUCAAGGGCUGGACUGGUGACGACACAGUGGACCACCUGUUGGUCGAUAUCCAUGGCAGGUACUCCAAACAGCUACAGAACUUGGAAACUCCCGUUUACCAGACACCUCACUCUGACUGGCUGAAAACUUCAACGACACUCCUUUAAGAUUCACCAUCAGCAGCUGCUCCAUCAAGCCACUAACCGUUACUGUUUGUUUUUUAGUUCCUGUUUCUAUAAUUGUAUUUGUCAUGUGCAAGUUAGCACGGGGGAGAGAGUACAAUGAAAGGUGUUAGACUAGAAGAUACAGGUCAGCUCAGCGGUGAAAUAGUAAAAAAAAAGAAAGAAAGAGCCUAAUAUUUAAAUGAAAAGUUAAAUACAGUACUAAAAACUAUAUACGUUCCAAGAUGCAGUGUAAUAUUUGAUUAUGCAAAUGUAUUGACAACUUUAAACUGCACCUUUAUUAAUUAUCUGUACCAUUAUUGAUCCUGAAACUACAAAUAUAAUGAAUAUAAUUCUCAGCAUCAGAACCUCUCUGCAGCCAUGCUUUGUUUCUUACACCUGCGCUAUGUGGCAGCUUACAGGUGGCUUAUAAUAGUCUGUUUACAGUUUAAUCGUUCUAAAGCAACUGAACUGGUUUGUUCUCUUCAUCCUCUUUACUUAAUGAGGGAACUCAAUUAAAAUAAAGGAAUUAUUAUUAUUAGGCACUGUGAGUUGUUAACCCCAGAACACUAACGUACAAUUAAUAACACCAUCACUAACGUCAGGUACAUUUUACCCGAUAUAAAAUAUCCGAUAAAAAAGAUUUCCCAUCAAAAUAUAUUAAUGUACAACAAUACAUGGCAAUUUGAAGUACUCUUCUUUUAUUUUUUUAACGAAAAAAAGCAAUCAUGGGGGACCCACUCCACUCAGACAGCAGCAACACAAUGGAAAUCCCAUGACUACACUUGCUCCGGUAAAAAUCACCCGACGUUAGUGUUCUAGUGUUAAAUAGGAGUCACCAUGCCUUUAGUAUAUGCCUGGUGACUGAGGGGUGUUUGACUUAAUGUAAUGCAUGCUGGUCUGAGAACAAAGCCUUUACAGUUUUUCUCCUGCAGCUACAGCACUUGGAAACUCCCUUUUACCAGACACCUCACUCUGACUGGCUGAAAACUUCAACGACAAUCCUUUAUGAUUCAUUAUCAGCAGCUGCUCCAUCAAGCCACUAACCGUUACCGUUUGUUUUUUAGUUCCUGUCAUGUGCAAGUUAGCACGGGGGAGAGAGUACAAUGAAAGGUGUUGGACUAGAAGAUAAAAAAAAAAAGCCUAAUAUUUAAAUGAAAAGUCAAAUACAGUACUAAAAACUAUAUACGUUCCAAGAUCCUGUGUAACAUUUGAUUAUGCAAAUGUAUUGACAACUUUAAACUGCACCUUUCUUAAUUAUCUGUACCAUUAUUGAUCCUAAAACUACAAAUAUAAUGAAUAUAAUUCUCAGCAUCAGAACGAAACACAAAUUAAUUAAAUUAUUAGAAGUAAAUACAAUAAUGAUACAAAUAUAACUAUGAUCAUUA